rnacentral:rRNA from 1 species
GAUGAACGCUAGCGGCAGGCUUAACACAUGCAAGUCGAGGGGCAGCGAGUAAGUAGCAAUACUUAUGUCGGCGACCGGCGCAAGGGUGAGUAACGCGUGAGCAACAUGCCCUGUUCAGGGGGAUAACCCGGAGAAAUCCGGACUAAUAUCCCAUAUAUUGUUUUAAGGCAUCUUAGAAUAAUAAAAGGUUCGCUGGAACAGGAUUGGCUCGCGUAACAUUAGCUAGUUGGUAAGGUAACGGCUUACCAAGGCGACGAUGUUUAGGGGAACUGAGAGGUUGACCCCCCACACUGGAACUGAGACACGGUCCAGACUCCUACGGGAGGCAGCAGUGAGGAAUAUUGGACAAUGGUCGGAAGACUGAUCCAGCCAUGCCGCGUGAAGGAAACGGUCCUAUGGAUUUUCAACUUCUUUUGUAUGAGAGCAAUAAGGUGUACGAGUACACCGAUGAGAGUAUCAUACGAAUAAGCACCGGCUAACUCCGUG